rnacentral:rRNA from 1 species
UACGAAGGGGGCUAGCGUUGCUCGGAAUCACUGGGCGUAAAGGGUGCGUAGGCGGGUUUCUAAGUCAGAGGUGAAAUCCUGGAGCUCAACUCCAGAACUGCCUUUGAUACUGGAAGUCUUGAGUAUGGGAGAGGUGAGUGGAACUGCGAGUGUAGAGGUGAAAAUUCGUAGAUAUUCGCAAGAACACCAGUGGCGAAGGCGGCUCACUGGCCCAUUACUGACGCUGAGGCACGAAAGCGUGGGGAGCAAACAGGG